rnacentral:rRNA from 1 species
GACUAACGCUGGCGGCGUGCCUAACACAUGCAAGUCGAACGAAGCAGCAAUGCUUAGUGGCAGACGGGUGAGUAACGCGUAGAUAAUGUGCCCUCUUGCGGGGGAUACCGUUUCGAAAGGAACGUUAAUACCGCAUAAAGUCCUUAGAAGGCAUCUUUUAGGGACCAAACUUUCCCGGGGGCGGGAGGAGCAAUCUGCGUACUAUCAGCUAGUUGGUGAGGUAAUGGGCUCACCAAGGCUACGACGGUUAACUGGUUCUGAGAGGAUGAUCAGUCACACUGGAACUGAGACACGGUCCAGACUCCUACGGGAGGCA